rnacentral:rRNA from 1 species
GAUGAACGCUGGCGGCAUGCCUAAUACAUGCAAGUCGAACGAGAGGAAGGAAAGCUUGCUUUUCUGAAUCUAGUGGCGAACGGGUGAGUAACACGUAGGUAACCUGCCCAUGUGCCCGGGAUAACUUCUGGAAACGGAUGCUAAAACCGGAUAGGUAGCAGACAAGCAUUUGACUGCUAUUAAAGUGGCUAAGGCCAUGAACACGGAUGGACCUGCGGUGCAUUAGCUAGUUGGUGAGGUAACGGCCCACCAAGGCGACGAUGCAUAGCCGGCCUGAGAGGGCGGACGGCCACAUUGGGACUGAGACACGGCCCAAACUCCUACGGGAGGCAGCAGUAGGGAAUUUUUGUCAAUGGGGGGAACCCUGAACGAGCAAUGCCGCGUGAGUGAGGAAGGUCUUCGGAUCGUAAAGCUCCGUUGUAAGAGAAAAACGACAUUCAUAGGGAAUGAUGAGUGAGUGAUGGUAUCUUACCAGAAAGUCACGGCUAACUACGUGCCAGCCGCCGCGGUAA